AUUGAACGCUGGGCGGCAUGCCUUACACAUGCAAGUCGAACGGUAACGCGGGGCAACCUGGCGACGAGUGGCGAACGGGUGAGUAAUAUAUCGGAACGUGCCCAGUAGUGGGGGAUAGCCCGGCGAAAGCCGGAUUAAUACCGCAUACGACCUACGGGUGAAAGCGGGGGAUCGCAAGACCUCGCGCUAUUGGAGCGGCCGAUAUCAGAUUAGGUAGUUGGUGGGGGUAAAGGCCUACCAAGCCUACGAUCUGUAGCUGGUCUGAGAGGACGACCAGCCACACUGGGACUGAGACACGGCCCAGACUCCUACGGGAGGCAGCAGUGGGGAAGUUUUUGGGACAAUGGGCGCAAGCCUGAU
rnacentral:rRNA from 1 species